GAGCCGAGAUUGCACCACUGCACGCCAACAUGGGCAACAGAGUAAGACUCUGUCUUAAAAAAAAAAAGGAAGCUUAAUUGGUUUGCCCAGAUCACACACAGAUGUAUACAUGGACUCAGAAAGAGUUGUCUGUUUCUAUUUUCAGGGCUUUCUCCACGAAUUCUUUGGCCUAUCAUGUAGCUGGCACAUAGUAGGCACUGUGCUGACACAUAGCAGGCACUGCAUAUUUGUUGACUAAAUGAACACUUAGCUGAACACUUACAGGCAAUGGUAGUCAGCCCUCAGUAAGACUGACCAUUUGUAGAUAGAUUUAAUCUGGUCAAGAAAUUAGAAUUUGCUAAAGCUAACUCUGCAACAUAGUGGGCCCUGGUUGCUUCUGUAAUUGUCUAUCAUUCAUCAGGCUUUCAUCUGACCUUACUGAGUGAGUGCUAUGUGCUGGGGACGCCGGUAUUUAGAAAUGAGGAAGACAUUCUCUAGAGUAUACAGAUGAUGGCUAAUGCUGUGGAGGUGGAAGGAAUGUAGGGAGAGGGUAGGUAGAAAAGAAAAUAGGAGCAGCAUGGAUGGAACACUUUGGAACAGGAACAUUUAAGGGGCAAGCUGAAAAAGAGAAGCCAGCAAAGGCGACUGAGAGGGAGUAAAGUGGGAGGAAAACCUGGAGAGAAAGAUAUCAUAGAAACCAAGGGAGAAAAAGCACUUCAUGGAGGUCAACAGCUUCAAGUGCUGCAGAGACGUCAGUUAACGUGAGGACUGAAAAGGUUCAUUGAGUUCAAUAAUAGGGAAUCCUUUGGUGAGCUUUGCUAGAGCACCUUAGAGUCAUGAGUGCUUGAUCAUUUUGAGAAACCUGACUGUGAAUAGAAGAAAAGAAUAGGGCACUAAUUAGGAGUGUGGAGUUUUUGGUUCUGUUUUUUUGUUUUGAAGAGAUUUGAAUGUGUGAGCCAGCAAAGAUGAAGAUUUAAAGAUAAGUGGGCAAAAGGGUUAUUAAUGAUGAAGUGAUAUUUCUGAGAAGGUGAGAGCAAAGGAAUUAACCUUGAAUCCUGGGAUAGACGCUCUUCUUCUGAGACUGUCGUGGGUUUUUCCACUGUGCCGGGGGAGGGGUUUUCUUGGAGUAGUCUCACUAGCAGGAGGGCUGCUUUUGCUCCAUGUCUGCAAAAGUGGAAGCACGUGGGUGAAUGCUAAUGUGCGUGUUAUACUACUUAGAAGUUACAGUCCUCUAAUUUUUUAACUUGCCUUCUGAUACUGGCUUAAAAUAAGUUACAGUUUAAUUAAAGGUAUAUAUUGAUCACACUUACCACACCUAUGGUAAAGUAGCCUUCUAAAAGCUCCAGAUCUCUAGGGUGCCAGCAAAACAUCCAAGUACAUAAUACAUGUAGAUGAGGUAGCAAGCGAAUGAUUUGUUGUUCAGACUACAUGACCAAAUAUAGUUCAGAAGAUAUCUGUCAGUGCUGGGGCCUCAUGGAGAGAGGGAGAGAUCAUCCACUAGGUCAGGGACCCAUAACAUUCUUUAGGGGGUGAUAUGAUGUAGUUUGGGGAUUCACAAUCCUUUCUCGGUGAGGAGAUGCAAAUUGGCCUCAUAAUUACCACCAUGUAUGGAAUAGCAUCAUACAUGAUCUAGUUGUUGUUUUUUAUGGUACAGUGUUUUUACAGUACAGAUACAUUUACCCACCAAAUAUGGUGGUUUGGAAUGAUUCUUUGUGAUCUUCCUUGAUUUCAUCAGCAAUUUUUCCCAACCCAUGUUUCAGUUUUCAGUCUUAAUACUUAGCAUUAACUAAAAUUAUGUUCUUGAACAUGGCUAUAUGUUGACCCUUUCCUUAUGUUUUUUCAGUGUCUGCCAUGCUCCCUGCCUAAGCUUCCUGUUGUUUGCUCAGCCCUUUGUGUUCCUUUUGCAGAGACUCCAAUUUCAGCAUGACUCUUUUGCCCCCAAAUGCUCUCAAGUAAUAGGUUGGCAAUACGUGUUCAUGGUCUUCUGUUUAAGGGAAGCUUGUAAUGUGUCAUUCCUUUUACUGUGUCACAUGGUUUACUGCAGCAUAUCCCUACAAAAUUUAUAUUGUGCUGUGCUGGAGUGACUGGUAUGUUGGAGUGGAUUUUUAUUAGCAAUAUAUUUAUCCAUAUAGUGAUCAUAUCUGCUUUAAUACUUGACAGUGAUAGUAAGUCUAAGAUACUGGUGUAUUGGAUAGUAAGUCUAAGGUACUGGUGUAUUGGAUAGUAAGUCUAAGAUGCUGGUGUGUUGGAUAGUAAGUCUAAGAUGCUGGUGUGUUGGAUAGUAAGUCUAAUGUACUGGUGUAUUGGAUAGUAAGUCUAAGAUGCUGGUGUGUUGGAUAGUAAGUCUAAGGUACUGGUGUGUUGGAUAGUAAGUCUAAGGCACUGGUGUUUUGGAUAGUAAGUCUAAGAUGCUGGUGUGUUGGAUAGUAAGUCUAAGAUGCUGGUGUGUUGGAUAGUAAGUCUAAGAUGCUGGUGUGUUGGAUAGUAAGUCUAAGAUGCUGGUGUGUUGGAUAGUAAGUCUAAGAUGCUUGUGUGUUGGAUAGUAAGUCUAAGAUGCUGGUGUGUUGGAUAGUAAGUCUAAUGUACUGGUGUGUUGGAUAGUAAGUCUAAGGUACUGGUGUGUUGGAUAGUAAGUCUAAGAUGCUGGUGUGUUGGAUAGUAAGUCUAAGAUGCUGGUGUGUUGGAUAGUAAGUCUAAGAUGCUGGUGUAUUGGAUAGUAAGUCUAAGAUGCUGGUGUGUUGGAUAGUAAGUCUAAGAUGCUGGUGUAUUGCAUUGGUCAUGGGAGGUAGAAAUGGCUCCUUUACUACCUACCUGUGUGAUCGUCAAAUUCAUAUUUUCCCAAGGCUAAUAUUUUCUUCUUUCUACUGUAAUUAGCUUCCUCAUUCUGCAAGUUAACUAUGAUUAUAAAUACUGAAUACCUGGCAUGUUUUCUCAAGUAUGAAAAUAAAAGCUUAUACUUAAUGUGUAAAUUACAGUUGAACAUAGGUCCAGACAUAUGGUUAUUAGUGUUGCUUAAAUUACUGGUUUUUCUUGUCAUUGCUAUUGCAAGUGUUCUCAAAGUGACGGCAAAUCACUUCCUUUCCUGUACUGUGUAAGUAAAAUAAAUAUAUUUUAAAAUGUAUGAAUGUGUAAUGUAGAUAUUACUCUAUUUGACCUUUUAUUUGGAGGUUAACAUAUAAAUAAAUAGCAACAACUAGUAUUGAGAAGUCCAGAUGCACUGGGCUUGCUUAGGUGCCUCGUGGUCUCCAUAAACAUUUGGUCUAGUGUUUCUGGCUAAAAGCCAGCAGCAAAUUAUACUUUCCAUGCAACUCUUAGCUCACUCUCUUCCUUCUCAGAGCAUGAUCUGCAAAAUGCACUCAUAAGACAUCAAAUUUGAAUUGCAAAUUUGUAUGCGAAUAUUAUUUUACAAGUAGUCGGGAAAGAAACCAGAGGGGAACGUUUCCCUAAUUUGUUAGCAAGCUGUAUACAUAAUUUGUAACUGAUGCUUGUCUUGACCAUCUAGUCAUCAGUAUUCUGUAGGUUAUGGAAAUACCAAUGUUUUCAAAUCUUUGCUUUGUUUUUAUCAAGACUACUUUAUUAACCUAUGUAUUUUUUUUUUUAUCACGCUUAAAAGCUUGUUUAAUUGUCCCAUCACAAGGUAACAAAUAGUCUUGUUUUUUAAACAUGGGAAAGCAUUUUAUAUUGUUGAAACUGGCAUGUUUUAAAAUAAAUAUAUAACCUCAGGA
rnacentral:lncRNA from 1 species